GGUGAGAUGGCCGAGCGGUUAAGGCGCUACGUUAAGGUUGACCUUAAUUAAUUCCGUAGUCCGAAAGGGCGUGGGUUCGAAUCCCACUCUCAUCA
rnacentral:tRNA from 1 species